UGAUCCGGAGAUCUCUGAAUGGGGAAACCCAUGUGAGCAAACCUCACAUAUCCAUACGCCAAUCCAUAACGUAUGGAGGGGAACCCGGGGAACUGAAACAUCUAAGUACCCGGAGGAAAAGAAAGAAACAUCGAUUCCUUGAGUAGCGGCGAGCGAAAGAGGAGGAGCCCAAACCGGGAUGCGCAGCAUCCCGGGGUUCGGACCGCGGAAGUGAUUCAUGAGUUUUAGCAGAACGGCUUUGGGAAAGCCGGCCGGAGAGGGUGAAAGCCCCGUAAGCGAAAAGACGAGUGACACGGCGGGAUCCAGAGUACUACGAGACACGUGGAACCUUGUAGGAAAGAGCGGGGACCACCCCGUAAGGCUGAAUACUACCCAGUGACCGAUAGAGCAUAGUACUGUGAAGGAAAGGUGAAAAGGACCCCGGGAGGGGAGUGAAAGAGAACCUGAAACCCUGUGUUUACAAGCUGUGGAACCGCCGUACGGGCGGGACCGCGUACUUUUUGUAGAACGGUCCAGCGAGUUGUGCUGGCUGGCAAGGUUAAGGACUGAAGGUCCGGAGCCGGAGGGAAACCGAGUCUUAAUAGGGCGCCAAGUCAGUCUGCGCAGACCCGAAACCGGGUGAUCUAUCCAUGUCCAGGAUGAAGCUGCCGUAAGAGGCAGUGGAGGUCCGUACCCACAUCCGUUGAAAAGGGUGGGGAUGAGGUGUGGAUAGGGGAGAAAUUCCAAUCGAACCCGGAGAUAGCUGGUUCUCCUCGAAACAGCUUUAGGGCUGGCCUCGUACAAGUCUGGUGGAGGUAGAGCACUGAAUUUCCUAGGGGGCGUCAAAGCUUACCGAAGAAUAUCAAACUCCGAAUGCCAUACAGAUGAUGUACGGGAGUCAGACCGCACGAGAUAAGUCGGGCGGUCAAAAGGGAAAGAGCCCGGACCUGCAGCUAAGGUCCCAGAGUGCGCAUUAAGUGGAAAAGGAUGUGGGAUUUCAGAGACAGCCAGGAUGUUGGCUCAGAAGCAGCCAUACAUUAAAAGAGUGCGUAAUAGCUCACUGGCCGAGAGGUCCUGCGCCGAAAAUGUCCGGGGCUGAAAUGCGCCACCGAAGCUCAGGAAUGAGAGAUCAUUGGUAGAGGAGCAUUCCCACGCGAUGAAGCCGUACCGUAAGGAACGGUGGAGCGCAGGGAAGAGAGAAUGCUGGAAUGAGUAGCGAGAGGAAGGUGGGAAUCCUUCCGGCCGGAUAUCCAAGGUUUCCGGAGUAAAGCUGAUCUGCUCCGGGUAAGUCGGGACCUAAGGCGAGGGCGAAGGCCGUAGCCGAUGGACAACAGGUUGAGAUUCCUGUACUGCAGCAUGACAGAACUGUGGGGACACGUGUGGAGAGCGCGGGCGCGGAAUGGAAAGCCGCGUGCAAGCGGGGUACCGGUCUGGCAGGCAAAUCCGCCAGGCAGCGGGAAUCCGUGAUGCGGACCGAAACAUAGUAGGGAAGCGUGUGUGCCAUGCGUCAAGAAAAGCCGCUAUUGUUCAUGAUGUACCCGUACCGUAAACCGACACAGGUGGAUGGGGAGAGAAUCCCAAGGCCGACGGAAGAAGCAUUGUUAAGGAACUCGGCAAAAUGACCCCGUAACUUCGGGAGAAGGGGUGCCUCUGUGAAGAGGCCGCAGAGAAUUGGCCCAAGCAACUGUUUAGCAAAAACACAGGUCUGUGCAAAACCGUAAGGUGAAGUAUACGGGCUGACGCCUGCCCGGUGCCGGAAGGUUAAGGGGAGAAGUUAGCGCAAGCGAAGCUUUGAACUUAAGCCCCGGUAAACGGCGGCCGUAACUAUAACGGUCCUAAGGUAGCGAAAUUC
rnacentral:rRNA from 1 species